rnacentral:rRNA from 1 species
GAUAAACGCUGGCGGCGUGCAUGAGACAUGCAAGUCGAACGAAGGAUCGGGCUUGCUCGAUCCUUAGUGGCGGACGGCUGAGUAACGCGUAGGUGACCUACCCCGAAGUGGGGAAUAACUGCCCGAAAGGGUGGCUAAUACCGCAUGUGGUCGCACGUUCAUUCGUGCGAGUAAAGCCGCAAGGCGCUUCGGGAGGGGCCUGCGUCCGAUUAGCUCGUUGGUGGGGUAAUGGCUUACCAAGGCGACGAUCGGUAGGUGGUCUGAGAGGACGAGCACCCAGACUGGGACUGAGACACGGCCCAGACUCCUACGGGAGGCAGCAGUCGGGAAUGUUGCUCAAUGGGGGAAACCCUGAAGCAGCAACGCCGCGUGAGGGAUGAAGGCCUUCGGGUUGUAAACCUCUUUUGUCAGGGACGAUGAUGACGGUACCUGGCGAAUAAGCCACGGCUAACUACGUG